rnacentral:rRNA from 1 species
GAUGAACGCUGGCGGCGUGCCUAAUACAUGCAAGUCGAGCGAACAGACGAGGAGCUUGCUCCUCUGACGUUAGCGGCGGACGGGUGAGUAACACGUGGAUAUCCUACCUAUAAGACUGGGAUAACUUCGGGAAACCGGAGCUAAUACCGGAUAAUAUAUUGAACCGCAUGGUUCAAUAGUGAAAGACGGUUUUGCUGUCACUUAUAGAUGGAUCCGCGCCGCAUUAGCUAGUUGGUAAGGUAACGGCUUACCAAGGCAACGAUGCGUAGCCGACCUGAGAGGGUGAUCGGCCACACUGGAACUGAGACACGGUCCAGACUCCUACGGGAGGCAGCAGUAGGGAAUCUUCCGCAAUGGGCGAAAGCCUGACGGAGCAACGCCGCGUGAGUGAUGAAGGUUUUCGGAUCGUAAAACUCUGUUAUUAGGGAAGAACAAAUGUGUAAGUAACUAUGCACGUCUUGACGGUACCUAAUCAGAAAGCCACGGCUAACUACGUG